rnacentral:rRNA from 1 species
UUCCCGGACCACGCCUGGCUGAGGGUC